GCCGGAGUGGCGGAAUUGGCAGACGCGCACGACUCAAAAUCGUGUUCCCAACGGGAAUGAGGGUUCAAUUCCCUCCUUCGGCACCA
rnacentral:tRNA from 1 species